GUAAAACGAUAACACUUGGUGUGCGGCGAGUGUUCUAUAAUAUGUUGAGUAAAUUAAAGCAAGAACAAGAAGAGAAGGAAGCGAUGUUGUGCAAAAAAUAAAUGUUUAGUCGUCUUGAGUGAAUUCAUAAUCUAGACUACAGUUGGGACCAAGAAUACAAAAAAUAUACCGAAACAGUAAUAAAACAUACUUUUGAAAGUAUAACACAACUAUAUUGAAAGACAAUGACAGAGCAUAUCCUUCAUGUUGAAGUUUCGUAGACUGAGCGUUUGGAGAUUAAAUAAAACAACUGCUUGAGUAGUAUAUAGAAUGUACAGCUACAAAGUUCAGAAAGAAGGAGGGAUGAAAUAAUAGAAGAGCUAGAACCAUUU